UUUAUGUCUCUGUGGACUGGGCUUCUCCCUGUUUAUCAGAGCCUGAUCAGAGAGGAGGGAGUGGCAUUGUGCUCUUCCCAGCGCUGCCCUGCCGCCAAGCCCCAGCCCUGACCUGGAGGGACCAUCACUGGGCGUGAGAAGGCUGCUUGGGCUCCACACCUUUGAAACAUUUGGCAUCU
ensembl:misc_RNA